rnacentral:rRNA from 1 species
GAUGAACGCUAGCGGCAGGCUUAACACAUGCAAGUCGAGGGGUAACAGGGUGCUUGCAUCGCUGACGACCGGCGCACGGGUGCGUAACGCGUAUACAAUCUACCUUUUACAGAGGGAUAGCCCAGAGAAAUUUGGAUUAAUACCUCAUAGUAUUAUAAAGUGGCAUCAUUUAAUAAUUAAAACUUCGGUGGUAAAAGAUGAGUAUGCGUUCUAUUAGCUAGAUGGUAAGGUAACGGCUUACCAUGGCAACGAUAGAUAGGGGUCCUGAGAGGGAGAUCCCCCACACUGGUACUGAGACACGGACCAGACUCCUACGGGAGGCAGCAGUGAGGAAUAUUGGACAAUGGAGGCAACUCU